UAGCUAUAAGGAGUUUAUUUUUAGUAAAACCUGCCCAGUGAUUUUUUUAACGGCCGCAGUACCAUGACUGUGCUAAGGUAGCAUAAUAAAUUGGCUUUUAAUUAGAGUCUGGAAUGAAUGGAUUUUUAAAGUUAAGCUGUCAUAAGUAAUACUAAUUUUAACUUAUUUAUUUGGUGAAAAUACCAAAUUUUUUUUUAAAAAGACGAGAAGACCCUAAGAAUUUAUAUUUUUUUUUGUGGGGGCGACAAAAAGACAUUUUUAACUCUUUUGUUUCUUUUUUAUAUAACGAAAUUUUUAAUAAUAAACAAAUUACCUUAGGGAUAACAGCAUAAUUAGUUUUUUUACUGUUUAUGACCUCGAUGUNGGACUAGAAUCUUUUUUAGCUAGCCGCUAAAAAAAAANGUUCNGUUCGAACAAAAUAUUUU
rnacentral:rRNA from 1 species